rnacentral:rRNA from 1 species
GACGAACGCUGGCGGCGUGCUUAACACAUGCAAGUCGAACGGAAAGGCCCUGCUUUUGUGGGGUGCUCGAGUGGCGAACGGGUGAGUAACACGUGAGUAACCUGCCCUUGACUUUGGGAUAACUUCAGGAAACUGGGGCUAAUACCGGAUAGGAGCUCCUGCUGCAUGGUGGGGGUUGGAAAGUUUCGGCGGUUGGGGAUGGACUCGCGGCUUAUCAGCUUGUUGGUGGGGUAGUGGCUUACCAAGGCUUUGACGGGUAGCCGGCCUGAGAGGGUGACCGGCCCCAUUGGACUGGGGUAAGGCCCCAGCUCCUACCGGGAGCAAGAGGUGGGGAAUUUGCAAAAAGGGGCGGAGGCUGAAGCAAGCACCCCCGGUGCGGGAAGACCGGCUUUGGGGUUGGAACCCGUUUCGGCUUGGACCGAGGCGUGGUUGCGGUAAAUGGUAAAGAAGCACCGGCUAACUACGUG